UACGAAGGGGGCUAGCGUUGCUCGGAAUUACUGGGCGUAAAGAGCUCGUAGGCGGUUUGUUGCGUCGGCUGUGAAAUCCCGAGGCUCAACCUCGGGUCUGCAGUCGAUACGAGCAAACUAGAGUGUUGCAGGGGAGACUGGAAUUCCUGGUGUAGCGGUGAAAUGCGCAGAUAUCAGGAGGAACACCGGUGGCGAAGGCGGGUCUCUGGGCAACAACUGACGCUGGAGGAGCGAAAGCGUGGGGAGCGAACAGG
rnacentral:rRNA from 1 species